rnacentral:lncRNA from 1 species
CUUCUGUGCACGAGCUUGCAAAGCAAAGCAUUGUUGAAGUUCCCGAGCAAUUUCUUCGUCCAAAUCAAGACGCUACUCAUGUGAUCAACACAGACUCGUUACCGCAAGUACCAGUUAUCGACCUUGGUAAAUUGUUAGGUGAAGAUGCAACUGAGCUAGAGAAGCUAGACCUUGCUUGUAAAGAAUGGGGUUUUUUCCAGGUUUGAAUUAUUAUCAAUCUUCAUUAAAUUUUUGUCUAGUUGAAAUUACUUAUGUAAGUUGAAAAAUAAAUGGCGCCAUGAUUUCAUAUAGACAAAUUAAAAAAAUUUAAGAGUUAUUUAAAAAAUAAAAUUUCAAUGUAAAAAUUAGAAAAACCGUAAAAAAAACAUAUUUCUAGAUAGGUAUAUACGAUGUCACAUCACACAAUAAUAGAUUUGAGUGCGUAGAUUGAUUUCCAGUUUAACCCACUCUGUAUAAACUCGCAUGUUGAACGGAGUAAUCUAGCAUGACCACGAAUGACAAUAGGUUGUGAUAUAUGUUGGUCGGAGUCUACCCUGCAUUGGUCAACAAUUAAAUGAAAUUAUUUGCAAACUAUAAAUAAAUAAAUAAUCAAUUUUUGUGUAACUAAAAAUGACAUUCCUAUGCAGAUAAUCAACCAUGGAGUCAACACUUCGUUGAUUGAAAAGGUAAAGAUAGGUAUUAAAGAAUUCUUAAGCCUACCAGUGGAAGAGAAGAAGAAAUUUUGGCAAACUCCAAAUGAUAUGGAAGGAUUUGGUCAGAUGUUUGUUGUCUCUGAUGAUCAAAAAUUAGAAUGGGCAGAUCUUUUUCUCAUUACCACACUUCCAUUAGAUGAAAGGAAUCCUCGCUUAUUUCCAAGUAUUUUCCAACCAUUUAGGUUGUUUUCUACUCUCU